rnacentral:misc_RNA from 1 species
AGCAGCCGCGGUAAUUCCAGCUCCAAUAGCGUAUAUUAAAGUUGCUGCAGUUAAAAAGCUCGUAGUUGAAUUUCGGGGUCAAUAUGUUGGUCGUGCCUCGGUACGUACUAGCUUAUUGGUUUCUCCCUUCUGACGAACCAUGAUGUCAUUUAUUUGGUGUUAUGGGAAAUCAGGACUGUUACUUUGAAAAAAUUAGAGUGUUUAAAGCAGGCUCACGCUUGAAUACAUUAGCAUGGAAUAAUGAAAUAGGACGUUUGAUUCUAUUUUGUUGGUUUCUAGGAUCGACGUAAUGAUUAAUAGGGAUAGUUGGGGGCAUUAGUAUUCAAUUGUCAGAGGUGAAAUUCUUGGAUUUAUUGAAGACUAACUACUGCGAAAGCAUUUGCCAAGGAUGUUUUCAUUAAUCAAGAACGAAAGUUAGGGGAUCGAAGACGAUCAGAUACCGUCGUAGUCUUAACCAUAAACUAUGCCGACUAGGGAUCGGAUGAUGUUAAUUUUUUAAUGACUCAUUCGGCGCCUUACG